GGGGGUGUCCUCGUCCGGAGGGGCCUUUCGGCUCCGGGAAGGCGAGGCAGCGCUCAAUGCCCCAUGUUAAGCGCUCGGCUGGAGGAGGAGCGCUCUCCUCUCCCGCCGAGUCCCCUCUCCCCAGCAGGCAGCAAAGGGAGGGGGGUCCUGCCCUGCGGUGAGGAGGGCUGCGGCGUCCCGCUCUCCUCCUCAGGCCCCCCUUUCUCACCGGGCGGCCCGGCUGACUCACUGCUGUGGUGGGGAGAGCUCCUGAUCUUACUCUACCACUUCAGUCAAUGGCAGCUAUGGAUGCUCAGCACUCCUGAGAGAAACAGCCCAUUCAAAGUAAGCAGAUGGAGUCUAAUAUUUCCAUUUACUGAACUGAACAUUAGAAGACUGGGAAUUAAGUAGCAUUUGUCUAUAAGGUUACUCCUUCAACAAAGAUGUCACAGUAUUCUCCUAACUCUCCAUGUCUGCUUUACUUCAAAACCUUUGAGAAGAUAUUUAAAUAGUCACCAGACCAGCAUAAGUAAGAUGUGUGCUGACUUUUCAAGCUUUGCCUGUUUCCUGAGGAAAAUACCACAGUUCUCAAUUCCUGGGCGUCUCUGCAUGAAUGAUGCAACUGGAUUUAAUUGUAAAUCUGCUAUAAAAAGAUAAAACUGCAUUCAAAAAGUGCAAAUCUUUGAACUUAAAAUUCAGAACUUUCAUUUGGUUUUGGACAAAGAGUGAUUUGAAGACUGUUCAUGUACCUGUCUCUCUGCUCUGGAUUGUGUUUGCAGUCUACCACCUACCUGUUCACUUUGCUCUGAGGUUUGUGUUUACCUUUAUGUUGUCUGCUUUUUCCUGUUUUGGUUUUGGAGGCUAGGUAUUCUCCUGAAGCAACAAGUUCUCCUUUAAACUCCAAGAAGUACCACCUUGCUUCUGAAGUAUUUCAGGCUGCUUGGGUAAGAGAAGUCACUUCCAAAACUGCUUGAUAGCUUCAUGAUUGGUUUGCAGGCUGCAAGGUGAUGGCAACAAGAGAAUGUUUUGUAAGUAUGCACUGUGUACUUUAGAUUACUGACACCACAGAAGUUAAAGCAGCCUCAUUCAUGGUGGUUUGCUGUUUAAUAACAGUCCACAGAUACCUGCCUGUACCUAACCUUUCUGUGAGGCUCCUGCUUGAGCAUGUCCUAAAUGGAAUACACCAGAAUGCCCCAAGCCCCGCAUGGCUUGUGGGCAGUAUAUUACUUAGUGAGACUUUGACGUUGUUUGUAGCUAUGAGAAAUUCAAAGUUUGUAACAGAGGCUGGCAAGAACAAAAUUUGAUCUUACCUGCAGUAUGUUACUUACUUAGUAUUGUCCCCAGCAGAGUAGCAAAAGUUUGGUUCCCUAGACUAUAAAGAAUACCUAAAAAAUAUUUCAAGUAAUAAAAUUAAUGAAUGUAUUCAUAUUGUUCUUAAUUAGAUAAAGAAAGCAAUUUUUAGUAUGUGGAGGAAGAAGAGAAAAUACUACAUGAAACAUUUUCAGUGCAAACUCUUAGAUUUAGAGCACACUUUGAACAAGAAUUAUAUAAUAGCAUGAUGGUGGUUAACGCAUUACAACAGCAAAUGAAGACAUCUUUCUUACAGUAUCUGAACAGAACCAAAAGGAAUCUAUGCCUUCCUUUUAAGUCUUUAUGUGCAUAUUUAUAGUAUAAUUAUGAAAUUUCAACUGUUUGCAAUGCUUUUGCUGACCAAUGGUCUUUUUCUCUCAGUGUCCUAACUGCAAGACUAUCUUUGGAUUGUGGCAGUUUAUAUUGAAGAAAUGAGUUGGAACAGAGGUCUGGGGAGCUAUGUGAUGUGGAAAUAACAUUUCUUGUUAUUUUGGAUAGUUACAGGGAUCGACUGAGUAAGGUAGGAUAAUAGAAGCACAAUACGUGACACUUUAUGCUUGAAAAUCAAAGACUAAACAACAUGUCUCUAUUCCAGUCAUUACUUGUAGGAGAUGGAAUUACUUCUCAGUGUUUCAAUGAGUUCUGUGUACUCUGACCCAAGUAUCCACAGCAGGCCCCCCUGCCUGAGCACAAGGUCUGGCCCUCAUUUCUGGUAAAUAAUUGUGUAGCACUUCUGGGAAUUAGUAUUAUCACAUGUGUUUAAUAAAAAAGAUUCACAGAGUAAAAAUCAUACUGUAAAUUCUUUAGUAAACUGUGACUUGCAUCCUAACUCCGAGUUUCUCUGAUUGCGUACAGAUUGCUGCUAAAUCAGAAUAAGAAGCUCACAGGAUGGCUCCUGGUUUCAUAAGAAGGACCUGGCAAUGUUGGAAAUUAUAAUCAAAUUACCUGAAAUCCUUUAAUUUAGCCAGGCAGAGUAAUAAGUGACAUGGUUGUCUUGCUCUUUUUACACCAAGCUAUUUUGCUUUAUGUUGUAGUACCAAACCAACUUGUCAAAUUACUUGUACCUUUUUUGAGCUGAACUUUUGGAUUAUGACCUCCUCCUGACCCAAAGACACUGAAUGCAGUUUAAUACUGAGGCAGGCCCCAUCAACUCAGCAUCUCGUUUGGAGUAACUCCCACAGAUGUUGUUCCAAAGGAAGUUUCAGGUGCUGGAGGACAAGUUGAAGUCAGUUUAGUUUAUCUUGAUAUAAUAGUUUGAGUUCAUACUGCAUUUACUUUAAUUUGAACUGUAUAAUUGCAACCCAUAGGUUAACACCCCUUCCCCUUUCAGAGACAUGGGAAAGUCCAAGAUGGUUUGAAGCAAAUUAUCAGAGGAAAUAUCUGUGAAGACUUGUCACUAUUUUGUGGUGAUAUAUUUUUGGAAGCAUUUUUUUCCUCUGUUAAUGUAACAUUGUAAUACUUCAGUUACAGGCAUCAGAGUUUAUUUUGGAUAAGUAAGUUGGAAAACUGCUAUCUUGCAAUUUAGAAAUGAUCCAUUUUAAUAGAUACACUCGUCAAUAAGGAAUAUUUCAUAUUAAAAAUUA